rnacentral:misc_RNA from 1 species
CGCCUUUCUAACACAAUUUGAUUCUAAUCCAAUUCAUAUGCAACUCUUUUUACAUCUUUCAAAUUUGGCAACAGCAACUCUACAUUUUAUUGUCGUGGAUCGAUGAAUGAAUGAAGAACGAACGAACCUAGUAAAUAGUGCUUUAUAACAGUAAGUUCCUGUCUAUGGGAAUUGCACAAGUACCUAUACAAAAGAUACAAAGCAAAAUCAAGUAGAUAGCAGACUAGCACGUUAGUGUUAAAUCUACAGAUCCUACAAGCUCGAAAGGAAAACAAGGAUCAUUAUAUCUCAUCCGACCUCUGAUCAUCUUUAGCCCAACAUAUCUCCCCAUCAUCAUCAGAGUAGUCUGAGGAUUAGUCCCUGGAGAUACACUAAGUACUGAACCAUCAACAAAUCUAAGCGCUCCAAUGCCAUAGACGUGGUAAUCACUAUUGAACACUUCUCCCACAACACAUCCCCCAUGGUAAUGCCAUAUGGUGCUAACAGUUCCGUGACAAAAAUCAGCCAUCUCAACAAAAUCAGAUUGAUCAAUAGGCAUUGCAGGCCCGACAAAUCUGAAACUACGAGCUCCAAACCAUUCACGGAACAUAAAGUCUUCCAUGGACCGACUUCUCAACACAUCCCCAAUCUUGCGUAUGCCAUUUACACAUCUUUCUACAUCCACUGGAUUUGAAAAGUAAUUGAAUCGAACAAUUGGGUUCACUCUGAUGUCUGUUGAAGCAAGCCUUAGCAAGCCAGUCGAAAGAGGCCCGAUGAUUUUCUCCAUAAAGGUAGCCAUUGUGAGAU